rnacentral:rRNA from 1 species
GCUCUAUACAUGCAGUCGAGCGGAGUUGAUGAGGUGCUUGCACCUUAGAUACUUAGCGGCGGACGGGUGAGUAACACGUGGGUAACCUGCCUAUAAGACUGGGAUAACAUUCGGAAACGAAUGCUAAUACCGGAUACGCGAUAUGGUCGCAUGACUGAAUCGGGAAAGAUGGAGCAAUCUAUCACUUAUAGAUGGACCCGCGGCGCAUUAGCUAGUUGGUGAGGUAACGGCUCACCAAGGCGACGAUGCGUAGCCGACCUGAGAGGGUGAUCGGCCACACUGGGACUGAGACACGGCCCAGACUCCUACGGGAGGCAGCAGUAGGGAAUCUUCCGCAAUGGACGAAAGUCUGACGGAGCAACGCCGCGUGAGUGAUGAAGGUUUUCGGAUCGUAAAGCUCUGUUGCCAGGGAAGAAUGCUUGGGAGAGUAACUGCUCNCAAGGUGACGGUACCUGAGAAGAAAGCCCCGGCUAACUACGUGCCAGCAGCCGCGGUAAUACGUAGGGGGCAAGCGUUGUCCGGAAUUAUUGGGCGUAAAGCGCGCGCAGGCGGCCUUGUAAGUCUGUUGUUUAAACUUGGGGCUCAACCCCAAGUCGCAAUGGAAACUGCAAAGCUUGAGUACAGAAGAGGAAAGUGGAAUUCCACGUGUAGCGGUGAAAUGCGUAGAGAUGUGGAGGAACACCAGUGGCGAAGCGACUUUCUGGGCUGUAACUGACGCUGAGCGCGAAAGCGUGGGGAGCAACAGAUA